rnacentral:rRNA from 1 species
GAGAAAAACAUAGCAGGUUGUGAUUAUAGAUGGAUCUGGCAAGCUAGAAUUCCCUUGAAAAUUCAAAUUUUUCUAUGGCAAUCAUUCCAGGAUGCUCUUUUGACUAGAGAUGUGAGGAAACAUCGGGGAUGGAAAGGGAAUCCCAAAUGCUCAUUUUGUGGGAAGUGA